AGACAGGUGCUGCAUGGUUGUCGUCAGCUCGUGUCGUGAGAUGUUGGGUUAAGUCCCGCAACGAGCGCAACCCCUAUCCUCAGUUGCCAGCAUUUAAUGUGGGCACUCUGGGGAAACUGCCAGGGAUAACCUGGAAGAAGGGGGGGAUGACCUCCAAUCCUCAUGGCCCUUAUGAUUUGGGCUACCCACGUGCUACAAUGGCGUAAACAAAGGGAAGCGAGAUCGUGAGAUGGAUCAAAUCCCAAAAAUAACGUCCCAAUUCGGACUGGAGUCUGCAACCCGACUACACGAAGCUGGAAUCCCUAGUAAUCCCGGAUCAAAAUGCCCCGGUGAAUACCUUCCCGGGUCUG
rnacentral:rRNA from 1 species